rnacentral:rRNA from 1 species
ACGGCUCAGUAACACGUGGCUAAUCUGCCCUUGGGACCGGAACACCCCCGGGAAACUGGGGCUAAUUCUCGAUAGGUGAAGAACUCUGGAAUGAGUCUUCGCCCAAAAGGUGCUAGAGUUAUGCUCUUUGGCAUCGCCCAAGGAUGAGGCCGCGACCGAUCAGGUUGUUGGUGAGGUAAUGGCUCACCAAGCCUUUUACCGGUGCGGGCCGUGAGAGCGGGAGCCCGGAGAUGGGCACUGAGACAAGGGCCCAGGCCCUACGGGGCGCAGCAGUCGCGAAAACUUUGCAAUACACGAAAGUGUGACAGGGCUAUCCCGAGUGCCAUCCGCUGAGGAAGGCUUUUACCCAGUCUAGAACGCUGGGGGAAUAAGGAGAGGGCAAGUCUGGUGUCAGCCGCCGCGGUAAUACCAGCUCUCCGAGUGGUGUGGAUGUUUAUUGGGCCUAAAGCAUCCGUAGCUGGCUAAGUUAGUCCCUUGUUAAAUCCACCGAAUUAAUCGUUGGAUUGCGGGGGAUACUGCUUGGCUAGGGGACGAGAGAGGCAGACGGUAUUUCCGGGGUAGGGGUGAAAUCCUAUAAUCCCGGGAAGACCACCAGUGGCGAAGGCUGUCUGCUAGAACGCGCCCGACGGUGAGGGAUGAAAGCUGGGGGAGCGAACCGGAUUAGAUACCCGGGUAGUCCCAGCUGUAAACGAUGCAGGCUAGGUGUUUGGACGGCCACGUGCCGUUCUAGUGCCGCAGGGAAGCUGUUAAGCCUGCCGCCUGGGGAGUACGAUCGCAAGAUUGAAACUUAAAGGAAUUGGCGGGGGAGCAC